rnacentral:rRNA from 1 species
AGCCGCCACGGUAAUACGUGGGGAGCUAGCGUUGUUCGGAAUUACUGGGCGUAAAGCGCGCGUAGGCGGCUUUUUAAGUCAGAGGUGAAAGCCCGGGGCUCAACCCCGGAAUUGCCUUUGAAACUGGAAAGCUAGAAUCUUGGAGAGGUCAGUGGAAUUCCGAGUGUAGAGGUGAAAUUCGUAGAUAUUCGGAAGAACACCAGUGGCGAAGGCGACUGACUGGACAAGUAUUGACGCUGAGGUGCGAAAGCGUGGGGAGCAAACAGGAUUAGAUACCCCUGUAGUCCCUGUCUCUUAUACA